UACGGAAGGCAGCAGGGGGAAUAUUGCACAAUGGGCGCAAGCCUGAUGCAGCCAUGCCGCGUGUAUGAAGAAGGCCUUCGGGUUGUAAAGUACUUUCAGUCGUGAGGAAGGUGUUAAGGUUAAUAACCUUAGCAAUUGACGUUAGCGACAGAAGAAGCACCGGCUAACUCCGUGCCAGCAGCCGCGGUAAUACGGAGGGUGCGAGCGUUAAUCGGAAUUACUGGGCGUAAAGGGCACGCAGGCGGUUAAUUAAGUUGGAUGUGAAAUCCCCGGGCUUAACCUGGGAAUGGCAUUCAAGACUGGUUAGCUAGAGUCUUGUAGAGGGGGUAGAAUUCCAUGUGUAGCGGUGAAAUGCGUAGAGAUGUGGAGGAAUACCGGUGGCGAAGGCGGCCCCUGGACAAAGACUGACGCUCAUGUGCGAAAGCGUGGGGAGCAAACG
rnacentral:rRNA from 1 species